rnacentral:rRNA from 1 species
AUUGAACGCUGGCGGCAUGCCUUACACAUGCAAGUCGAACGGCAGCACGGGAGCAAUCCUGGUGGCGAGUGGCGAACGGGUGAGUAAUAUAUCGGAACGUGCCCGGUCGUGGGGGAUAACGUAGCGAAAGCUACGCUAAUACCGCAUACGAUCUACGGAUGAAAGCGGGGGAUCGCAAGACCUCGCGCGAUUGGAGCGGCCGAUAUCAGAUUAGGUAGUUGGUGAGGUGAAGGCUCACCAAGCCGACGAUCUGUAGCUGGUCUGAGAGGACGACCAGCCACACUGGGACUGAGACACGGCCCAGACUCCUACGGGAGGCAGCAGUGGGGAAUUUUGGACAAUGGGCGCAAGCCUGAUCCAGCAAUGCCGCGUGCAGGAUGAAGGCCUCGGUGUAACUUAGCUUUGUUACGGAACGAAACGGUAGAGCUCUAAUAC